UCAACUUUCAAUGAUGAAUGAGUGUGUCUGAGAACCCCACUUAUGGGCAGGGUAGGGAGGACUGGACAGUGGUCGUGGCUGUACACUGGAGAUCAGUGGACGUUUCAUGGUAGAGGUUCAGGUUAGGGUUGAGGUUGAGGUUAAACAUGGAUGAGUAUGAAGAGGGGUAACAGUACUACUAUACAAUAAUAUCCCGCUCUCAACUUUCAAGCUGGCUGUAACGGCCGUUGGUGGAAGAAGGUGAGGACCAAGAUGCAGCGUGGCAGAUUAAAGAAAAGAACGGUCUCUCACAGAGCAAGGGGAGCUGAGUGACUUGGUUGUGACCCAUUUUGACAGUGAUGUGAUUGAGUGUGGGCACCUCUGUCACCUGCAUGAACAUUCCCUUCAGGUUGGCGAUGACGAUGGCUGCCAGCACUGACUGUGGGACCCAUACAGAGCUGGAUUAGUGUGUUAGUCUACAGUAGGUAUUCCCAAACUGGUAUGCGCAAUGCCGUCGGGUACGUCAAAUAACCAUUUUCAAACAGUACAUUUAUAUUUUCCAACAGGGCUAUACAUUUGGGUGAGUUUUUUUUCUCGCCUGAGUAGCCUCGUUUCACUGACAAAAAUAAAAUGAAACCAUUUAGUGUUCAGCAAAAAUAACAACACAAGGUCAAAUACAGGUAGCCACUAACUUUAAGCACCAACUGACAGAGCAGCUCACAGAUUACUGCACCUGUACAUAGCCCACCUAUAAUUUAGCCCAAACAACUACCUCUUUCCCAACUGUAUUUAAUUCAUUUAUUUAUUUUGCUCCUUUUUAUUUCUACUUUGCACAUUCUUCCAUUGCAAAACUACCAUUCCAGUGUUUUACUUGCUAUAUUGUAUUUACUUUGCCUCCCUUCUCACCUCAUUUGCUCACAUUGUAUAUAGACUUGUUUAUACUGUAUUAUUGACUGUAUGUUUGUUUUACUCCAUGUGUAACUCUGUGUCGUUGUAUCUGUCGAACUGCUUUGCUUUAUCUUGGCCAGGUCGCAAUUGUAAAUGAGAACUUGUUCUCAACUUGCCUACCUGGUUAAAUAAAGGUGAAAUAAAUAAAUAAAUAAAAUAGCCUAGUCAAAUAAUUAACAUCCAAUCACAUUAACUGAAAGGUUGCUAGAUCGAAUCCCCGAGCAGACAAGGUGAAAAAAAUCUGUCGUUCGGCCCCUGAACAGGCAGUUAACCCACUGUUCCUAGGCCGUCAAGUGUAAAUAAGAUUUUGUUCUUAACUAAUUUGCCUAGUUAAAUAAAGGUUAAAUUUUUUUAUAAUUAUAAUAAUAGUAAACCGUUACUCUGUCGCAGGAAACCUUCACUGUUUUGACAUUUAGAAACAAAACAUGACAAUUUGAAAAAUAAGCCACAGAAGUUUUUUGAGCGAGAAAAAAGACUACUUUCAAGUAUUAAGACAUGUAUAAAAGAUACCAUUAAUAAGAAGGGUCUAGAAGCGUCUUAUAUGGUGAGCUACUGAGUGGAUAGGACAGGCCAGCCCCAUACUAUUGUGGAGGACUUCAUUCUUCCUGCUGCUGCGGAUAUGGAUGGGACAAUGCUGGGGGAAAGGCCAACAAAAAACUAUACAGACAAUGGCUUCAUCAAACAACACUGUUUCACAACGCAUCAGUGACAUGGCAGGAGAUGUUUUGAAACAAUUACUGCUUCGCAUACACGCCAGUGAAUUAUAUGCGUUAUACCUGGAUGAGUCAACAGACAUGUUGGGCCUGGUACCCUGGUAUAUGUCCGUUAUAUUUAUGGGGGGUCAAUUAAGGAAGACAUCCUCUUCUGCAAACCACUGGAAACCAUGACAUGAGAAGAUCAUUUUUAAAGUACUGGACAGCUUUGUGACAUCAAAUGGACUUCAAGCUGUGUUGAUAUCUGUACUGAUUGCGCAAAAGUCAUGACAGGGAGACAUAGUGGAGUGGCAACGCGUGUGCCAUCAGUUGUUCCUGAUGCCACUUGGGUACAUUGCAGCAUCCACCGUUAGGCUCUUGCUGCCAAGGGAAUGCCUGACAGCUUGAAAGACGUUUUGGACACUACAGUGAAAAUGGUUAACUUUGUUAAAGCAAGGCCCCUGAACUCUUGUGUAUUUUCUGCAUUAAGCGACCAUUGUAACACGUUUACAACAUACAGAAGUGUGCUGGUUAUCAAGGGGCAAAGUAUUGACACAUUUUUUUGAAUUGAGACGAGCUUAAUUAAAGUUGUCUUUUCUGACCCUAAUUGUCACUUGUCUGACAGCUUGCAUGAUGACGAGUUUCUCACACGACUGUCCUAUUUGGGUGAUGUUUUUUCUCGCCUGGAUGAUCUGAAUCUAGGACUACAGGGACUCUCCGCAACUAUGUUCAAUGUGUCCGGAACAAAAUUGAGGCUAUGAUUAAGAAGUUGUCGUUCUUUUCUGUCUGCAUUAACAAGGACAACACACAGAUCUUUCCAUAAUUUGUUUUUGGUGUGCAAAUGAAUUCAAGCUUACGGACAAUGUCAAAUGUGAUAUAGCGAAGCACCUGAGUGAGUUGGGUGCGCAAUUACGCAGGUACUUUCCCUAAACGGAUGACACAAACAACUGGAUUCGUUAUCCCUUUCAUGCCCUGCCUCCAGUCCACUUUACCGAUAUCUGAACAAGAGAGCCUCAUCGAAAAUGCAACAAGCAGUUCUGUGAAAAAUGAAUUUAAUCAGAAGCCACUGCCAGAUUUCUGGAUAGGGCUGCGCUCAGAGUAUCCUGCCUUGGCAAAUCGCGCUGUUAAGACACUGAUGCCCCUUGCAACCAUGUACCUAUGUGAGAGUGGAUUCUCGGCCCUCGCUAGCAUGAAAACUAAAUACAGGCACAGACUGUGUGUGGAAAAUUAUUUAAGACUGAGACUGUCUAAUACAGCUCAACAUUGCAGAGUUAUGUGCAUCCUUUCAAGCACACCCUUCUCAUGAACCUGUGGUGAGUUAUUCACAAUUUUUGAUUAAAUAAUAAGGUUUUAUAUGUAAGAUGGUUAAAUAAAGAGCAAACGUAUUGAUUAUUAUUAUAUUAUUAUUUGUGCCCUGGUCCUAUAAGAACUCUUUGUCACUUCCCACGAGCCGGGUUGUGACAAAAACUCAUACUCAUUCUCAUGUUUAAUAAAAGUAUCCUAUAGUGUGUGCGUGGCAGGCUUACAAUGAUGGCAAAAAAACAAACAUUUGAGAGUGCGCUGACCCUGGUGCUCGAGGGGGUACGCAGCUGGAGGUUGAAUGUUUGAAGGGGUACGGGACUUUAAAAAAGUUUGGGAACCACUGUUCUACAGCAAUCCCAUUUCACACUCUGCAUUAUCAUUGGAUGUGGUUGAUGAGUUGGCCCAUUAUACAGCUUGGAUCUCUUCCUCACCUUCUGCAGGGGUUCCAAGAGGUUCCCGAGAGCCAGGAUCACAAUCAUUACCAUCACAGCUGAGAUUAUACCAGCCACCUGUAAGAAUAGUACACACGUUUGUAACGGCACCCUGUUAGUGUGUGUGUGUGUGUGUGUGUGUGUGUGUGUGUGUGUGUGUUUUUCUUGCCUAUAAGUACUGUAUAGUGUACCUGACUCUUGCCGCCGGUGCUCUCCUGUACAGCGGUGCGGGACAGUGCAGUGCUUGCCACAAAGCCGGAGAAGCAGCCACAGAACACAUUACUGAACCCGAACGCUAUCAGCUCCUAGGACACACAGGGAGAGAGCCUGGUCAAUCUACUGCAAAUGACACAUGGAGCAUCGCACACGUUACAGCUGAGAAACCAGUGUCAAUCUGCAAAUGUUGUUCUUCAACAUACUGUACCGGUGCUCUGCUGUGAUGUCAUAGAGACUAGGGCCUUGAUUUAGAAAACAUUUGCAUUGGUGCUAAUUUGCAAUAUACAAAUCCGGUUUUGGUAGGGAGUGUUGAGUUACUGUAAACCCAUUGAACGAAGCAUUUAAGUGAUACUUACUAUAAUAACCAACACAGUGUUUUAGUGGUGUCCUGACUAUGUGUGUGUUUGCGUGGAGUGACUCCAAAAAAUAGAUAUUGGCCACAAUGCUCAAAUUGCUUCAGAGAGACAUUAGGAAGGUCAUAUUAAACUCUUGGUUAUAGACACUCUCACAUCACAGGUCGACUCCCGCAGUGUGAGAGAGAUUCUGCUUGGGGAAAGAACUUGAUUGGCAGGAAGUUUGGAACGUACCACACACACACACAAGCAUACACACCUGAUUGCCAUCGAUGGUGUAGUCGUGUUUUGCAGCGUAGACCUUGGCCACAGAGACAGCUACUGCAUAGCCCACUACCGCUGUAGAGAAACUGGAGCCCAGAAUGUUCCACAGCAGCUCUGUGUUGGGAGGCUGAGCUGGAGAAAACCUGUGGGACAAACACCUCACAAGUUACAUUGGAAAACAUCAUAUAUUUUACAGUUUUGAUAUUGUGUUUGAUUUAGGAAAUGUACAGUAGCCAAUUUAACUGUAUUGAACUCAUUUUGUUGUUUAAAUAGUCUUUCAGUUAUGUUUGGUAUUGUUAGGAAUGUUUCUCCAUGCCAUUUGUUGAUAUUAUUGUUGGAACCAUUUGUUAAUACUCUGAUGGUAACACUACAAGCCAAGUUGGUCUGGUUAGGACAGCGCCUGCUGAAUGACUUAACGAGGAUGACCAUAAGAUUCUAAGUCUGUCCAUAAAAAACUCCAAAACAUCCUCUGCUUUAGGGACAGGAAACAGGAAGUGCCACAGGAAGGGCUCUCACCCCCUGGGGAUGCUGUGCACAAUGCUGGCACCGUAGCGCGACUCCAGCUCGGUGGCGUAGGAGAUACCAGCGGCAACCACAGUCUGGGAGAGAGGGGGGUGGAUUGGGGUGGAGAUAGAGACAGUUGGACACAGGAGAGGCGAGACAUGAUGGUUUACUGUACACUUAAACAUGUAUCACACAUGUAACACACACAUAUGGGACACAGGAGAUACGCACAUAUACAGCAUUUCAUCUUUAGGUUAUAGUUAUUUUAUCACUUAGGAUGAUGUAACUUGGUGUAGAAGUUCUAAAAACACCCCAUUAAUAGUAGCCCAUAAUGUCCUCAGAAUUCUCCGUAGACCCUAUUACAUGUUUGGAUAUUCUGCAUUUUAUAGAAUCUCAAACACAGAUCGUUAUCAUUUCACAACAGUAAAAUAUUGACUGUGAGCCAUUCCACUUCCUACCACAAUCACUUCGAUGGGGAUGGGGACAGGAAUCUUGUGCCGGAAUUUGGAGUUGACCUCUUUUACGGCCAUGACGAUGACAAUGGUGAGCAGCCCGGCCACCAGGUCAGCUCUGUUGGUCUGUCGGAUGUUGGUAAACACGUCGAUGAGCGUCUAAACAGAGGAAUUGGUCAUAUGUGGUGAUCUUUAUGUCUGACUCUAUCCCUGAGAUGUGCCUUUUGUUCAAUGCAAAGUAGGCCUUCGAAUGAACCUAGUUGGAUAGAAUGACCACUAAAUAGAAAGCUCUUUCGUUGUUAUUUUGCCAAUAACCACGUGUUGUUUAAUGGAUAGAAAACUCUAGGAUGUUUUUUUCUGAAUGAAUUCUCCGACACUAACAGCCAAUCAAAAGGAAUCUAGACAGACGUUCUUCUACAGUGUGUAUUCGAUUAUUGGACCCUCACGUAGAGGAUGGAGAAGCAGCCGCUGUGGUUGUUAGUGGGGACGGAGAGGACUAUCUUCAGCUGGGAGAUGAGGACGUGGAAGGCAGCGGCCGUGGUGAAGCCGCCCACCAGGGGGUCUGACAGGUAACGGACCAAGAAGCCCACCUGGAGCAGCCCCAUUACCACCUGUAUGGGGAGGAACACCUGGUCACCAUGGAGAUACAGUAGACCAUAUGACUUGACCAGCAAAAACUAUUAUAUUAAUAUGAACAAGAUGGUGUCAGAUCAUUGUGGGACAUCAAUGUCUUCCUCUUUGCACUGAAUCUUUAACUCAAUAGUUACCUGGAACAGCCCGACCAGCACAGUCAUGGAGGACGCCACCAUGAUCCUCUGGGCCUCCAUGGCCUCCACGUCCACCACAAUCCCAUCAGCCUCUGUUCCAUUCACACCGGUGCCAUUCCCAGGAAGCAGGAAGUGGUCAUCGGGGGCGAGGGUCAACACGACGGAGCCCACCAUGAGACAGGUGACAGGGAACGGACCUGAGGGGUGGAGAACAGGCAAGGGAGACACCUGAUAAGUGCACGCGCAAUUGAUGCCACCUUUGUAAAUGCAUUGUUACAUAUUUGACUUGAUACGUCUCUGCUUCAUUCAUUAAACGUCCAAUCACAGGAGAUGGAUGAGUUCAUUAGUCAUUGGUCAAUGGUCAGUCCAGGUGUCAGUCAGGUGGAGGGGUGGGCCCUACCUACAGAGAUGUGUCUGGAGGUGCCCAGCAGGAAGUAGGUGAGGAUGGGGAAGAAGGCAGAGUAGAGUCCAUAGACUGGAGCCACGGACACAAGCAGGGCAUAGGCCAGGCCUGAGACACAAGGAAAUAAACCACAGAAAAUGAGCAGUGUUUGUCUUCUCACAUGAGAAUUGACGAGGGGCAACUGCAGUCUGACAUGACUUUCAGUUUCAACAACCUGUUAUUUCAAAGAGCACUAAACAAAACUGUCUAAGCAUGAAAUGGUUCAAAGCAGCGUGCCAUGGGUGAUUACAACAGUGAGGAAAGAAUGCCAUUUGGUCACAAUGGAAAAUCAAAAAGUUGCUAUUUGUGGAAUCUACACAUCGACUACAGUUGGUUUAGAGAAAACUGGGACGCACACCUUGUAAGCUGCACACCAGACCAGUGCUAACACCAGAGAUUACAUCGCUGGGAAGCCACUCUCUUAUUGGGUAUCUGGAGAGCCAGUCAAUGACAGGAAAGACUCCUUUCACAACCUUCAGGGCCUGCCUACCUGAGCAGCUGCAUUGGAAAAAACACAUAUUUAAUGUCAAACAUUAUUACAGUCAGCAUAGAUAUAGACAGACAGAUUCACUUUUCACAGACCAAACAUACAAAAUGUUGCCUGUUUUCCUUUCAGUAAGACUAUUAAAAUCUUGUCCAAACUGACCCACAGGUGCGGCUGAGUCUCUCCCUCAGGGUCCUCUCCUCCCGGGCCUGCCUCUCGUUGUCCUCCUCAAACGUGGGGUUGGAGUAGAUGGGUCUGGACACGGUGUAUGGGUACAGGUUCUCUGGAGGGUGGGCAUCCAUACCGCUCCACCUGCUGAGGAGACAGACAUGAUGGCGAUGUUUACAUGGAACACAACCAGUGAGCACCAGUGCCUUUCCUUAUGAAGUGUAAACAUCUAGAGUUAGUUUUACAAUCUUUAUUAAGAGCUGUCAUUUUAUUGUGAGGAACUGCAGUUUUAUCUGAUUUUUGUCCUCUGUUAUGUGAGUGAUCUUACAGACCUAUUCAAUCAAACCUGGCACUUCCAGGGUAGUGAGAAAAGCCUGUUUGAACGUAUAUGCUCUUCUCGCUUUUAUUUCUCUCUGCUUGUCACCAUAUAGUUUGGGGAAUGGCACACAUAGCCAGCCAGUGAAACCUUUGCUUUAUCUUAUCAAGUGUGAAUUAUAAUGACACAAUGAUUUUGUGACAAUAAAAAAAAUUAAGGACCUGAUAUAGUGACUGCAGAAAAAACAGGUGUCAGAUUUAACUGGGGAGCUUCCUCCAUGUUUUUAUCUAAGAGGCAAUUUCAUUUCUAUCUUUCCAAAACAGUCAAUAAAAUAUAAUUCAUUACAUGA